rnacentral:rRNA from 1 species
CGUAGGUGCAAGCGUUAAUCGGAAUGACUGGGCGUAAAGGGUGCGCAGGCGGUUUGCUAAGACAGAUGUGAAAUCCCCGGGCUUAACCUGGGAACAGCAUACGUGACUGGCAGGCUAGAGUAUAGAAGAGGGGGGUAGAAUUCCACGUGUAGCAGUGAAAUGCGUAGAGAUGUGGAGGAAUACCGAUGGCGAAGGCAGCCCCCUGGUCAUAUACUGACGCUGAGGCACGAAAGCGUGGGGAGCAAACAGGAUUAGAUACCCUGGUAGUCCACGCCCUAGACGAUGUCUACUAGUUGUCGGGGGGUAACUCCUUCGGUAACGCAGCUAACGCGUGAAGUAGACCGCCUGGGGAGUACGGUCGCAAGAUUA